AAAUUGAAGAGUUUGAUCAUGGCUCAGAUUGAACGCUGGCGGCAGGCCUAACACAUGCAAGUCGAACGGUAACAGGAAGCAGCUUGCUGCUUCGCUGACGAGUGGCGGACGGGUGAGUAAUGUCUGGGAAACUGCCUGAUGGAGGGGGAUAACUACUGGAAACGGUAGCUAAUACCGCAUAAUGUCGCAAGACCAAAGAGGGGGACCUUCGGGCCUCUUGCCAUCGGA
rnacentral:rRNA from 1 species